UGAUCCCUACGGGGCGCAGCAGUGGGGAAUAUUGCACAAUGGGGGAAACCCUGAUGCAGCAACGCCGCGUGAGUGAAGAAGUAUUUCGGUAUGUAAAGCUCUAUCAGCAGGGAAGAAGAUGACGGUACCUGAGUAAGAAGCCCCGGCUAACUACGUGCCAGCAGCCGCGGUAAUACGUAGGGGGCAAGCGUUAUCCGGAUUUACUGGGUGUAAAGGGAGCGCAGACGGCUGCGCAAGUCUGAAGUGAAAGCCCACGGCCCAACCGUGGGACUGCUCUGGAAACUGUGCGGCUUGAGUGCGGGAGG
rnacentral:rRNA from 1 species